UACGGGGGGGGCAAGCGUUGUUCGGAAUUACUGGGCGUAAAGGGCUCGUAGGCGGCCAACUAAGUCGGAUGUGAAAUCCCCAGGCUUAACCUGGGAACUGCAUCCGAUACUGGAUGGCUUGAAUCCGGGAGAGGGAUGCAGAAUUCCAGGUGUAGCGGUGAAAUGCGUAGAUAUCUGGAGGAAUACCGGUGGCGAAGGCGGCGACCUGGGUAGAUACUGACGCUGAGGCGCGAAAGCGUGGGGAGCAAACAGG
rnacentral:rRNA from 1 species